UACGAAGGGUGCAAGCGUUAAUCGGAAUUACUGGGCGUAAAGCGUGCGUAGGCGGUGAGUUAAGUCUGUCGUGAAAGCCCCGGGCUCAACCUGGGAACUGCAUUGGAAACUGGCGAGCUUGAAUGCGGCAGAGGGGGGUGGAAUUCCGCGUGUAGCAGUGAAAUGCGUAGAGAUCCGGAGGAACACCAGCGGCGAAGGCGGCAUCCUGGACUGGUCCUGACACUCAGGAGCGAAAGCGUGGGGAGCGAUCCGG
rnacentral:rRNA from 1 species